rnacentral:lncRNA from 1 species
UCUCACUGUAUUUGUUGAGGAAAUGUAAUAUGGAGCUAUGAGUGAAAUAAACCCUUUGCUCCCCAAAUUGCUUUUGUUAUGUUGUUUCAUCACAGCAAUCAUAACCCUAAGACAGGGGUAUUAGAAUUGCUCCUGACCAGUUCACUUCCUGUUCCUAAUGUUUAGUGGCAAGGAAUGAAUGUUCUGGACCUGUCCUGCCCCUCCAAUUCUUGUGAGAGAACACUUCCAAGUAAAUGGCAUUGGUGCUCUCAUUGAGGUUUCCUGGGUGCUAAGAUGGGCAGGAAGGAAUUGGAGAGCUGCUUCAGGAUGCCUUCCUCAGGUGGAGAAAUAA